GACGAACGCUGGCGGCGUGCUUAACACAUGCAAGUCGAGCGGUAAGGCCCUUUCGGGGGUACACGAGCGGCGAACGGGUGAGUAACACGUGGGUGACCUGCCCUCAGCUCUGGGAUAAGCCUGGGAAACCGGGUCUAAUACCGGAUAUGACUCCAUGACGCAUGUUGUGGGGUGGAAAGCCUUGUGCGGCUGAGGAUGGGCCCGCGGCCUAUCAGCUUGUUGGUGGGGUGAUGGCCACCAAGGCGACGACGGGUAGCCGGCCUGAGAGGGCGACCGGCCACACUGGGACUGAGACACGGCCCGGACUCCUACGGGAGGCAGCAGUGGGGAAUCUUGCGCAAUGGGCGAAAGCCUGACGCAGCGACGCCGCGUGA
rnacentral:rRNA from 1 species